rnacentral:rRNA from 1 species
AAUAGAUACCCAGGUAGUCCACGCCGUAAACGAUGAGUGCUAAGUGUUAGAGGGUUUCCGCCCUUUAGUGCUGCAGCUAACGCAUUAAGCACUCCGCCUGGGGAGUGCGGUCGCAAGACUGAAACUCAAAGGAAUUGACGGGGGCCCGCACAAGCGGUGGAGCAUGUGGUUUAAUUCGAAGCAACGCGAAGAACCUUACCAGGUCUUGACAUCCUCUGACAACUCUAGAGAUAGAGCGUUCCCCUUCGGGGGACAGAGUGACAGGUGGUGCAUGGUUGUCGUCAGCUCGUGUCGUGAGAUGUUGGGUUAAGUCCCGCAACGAGCGCAACCCUUGAUCUUAGUUGCCAGCAUUUAGUUGGGCACUCUAAGGUGACUGCCGGUGACAAACCGGAGGAAGGUGGGGAUGACGUCAAAUCAUCAUACCCCUUAUGACCUGGGCUACACACGUGCUACAAUGGAUGGUACAAAGGGCUGCAAGACCGCGAGGUCAAGCCAAUCCCAUAAAACCAUUCUCAGUUCGGAUUGU